AGUGAACGCUGGCGGUAGGCCUAACACAUGCAAGUCGAACGGCAGCACAGUAAGAGCUUGCUCUUACGGGUGGCGAGUGGCGGACGGGUGAGGAAUACAUCGGAAUCUACUUUUUCGUGGGGGAUAACGUAGGGAAACUUACGCUAAUACCGCAUACGACCUACGGGUGAAAGCAGGGGAUCUUCGGACCUUGCGCGAUUGAAUGAGCCGAUGUCGGAUUAGCUAGUUGGCGGGGUAAAGGCCCACCAAGGCGACGAUCCGUAGCUGGUCUGAGAGGAUGAUCAGCCACACUGGAACUGAGACACGUUCCAGACUCCUACGGGGGGCAGCAGUGGGGAAUAUUGGACAAUGGGCGCAAGCCUGAUCCAGCCAUACCGCGUGGGUGAAGAAGGCCUUCGGGUUGUAAAGCCCUUUUGUUGGGAAAGAAAAGCAGCAGGUUAAUACCCCGCUGUUCUGACGGUACCCAAAGAAUAAGCACCGGCUAACUUCGUG
rnacentral:rRNA from 1 species